CCUACGGGAGGCAGCAGUAAGGAAUAUUGGUCAAUGGACGAAAGUCUGAACCAGCCAUGCCGCGUGAAGGAUUAAGGCCCUCUGGGUUGUAAACUUCUUUUAUCUGGGACGAAAAAAGGGUAUUCUUACUCACUUGACGGUACCAGAGGAAUAAGCACCGGCUAACUCCGUGCCAGCAGCCGCGGUAAUACGGAGGGUGCAAGCGUUAUCCGGAUUUACUGGGUUUAAAGGGUGCGUAGGUGGGCUUGUAAGUCAGUGGUGAAAUCUCCGGGCUUAAACCCGGAAACUGCCAUUGAUACUAUAGGUCUUGAAUUAUCUGGAGGUAAGCGGAAUAUGUCAUGUAGCGGUGAAAUGCUUAGAUAUGACAUAGAACACCAAUUGCGAAGGCAGCUUACUACGGAUAUAUUGACACUGAGGCACGAAAGCGUGGGGAUCAAACAGGAUUAAAUACCCUGGUAGUCCACGCCCUAAACGAUGGAUACUCGACAUCAGCGAUACACUGUUGGUGUCUGAGCGAAAAGCAUUAAGUAUCCCACCUGGGAAGUACGAUCGCAAGAAUUGAAACUUAAGAAAGUAGUUAGCGUGNGAGNGCGACGACGACGACGAGAGGAGGAG
rnacentral:rRNA from 1 species